rnacentral:rRNA from 1 species
AGCGAACGCUGGCGGCAUGCUUAACACAUGCAAGUCGCACGGAUCUUUCGGGAUCAGUGGCGGACGGGUGAGUAACGCGACGGGAGCUAUCCAUGGGUGGGGGACAACUCCGGGAAACUGGAGCUAAUACCGCAUGAUACCUGAGGGUCGAAGGCGCAAGUCGCCUGUGGAGGAACCUGAGUUCGAUUGGCUAGCUGGUGGGGUAAGGGCAUACCAAGGCGAGGAUCGACAGCUGGUGUGAGAGGAUGGUCAGCCACACUGGGACUGAGACGCGGCACAGACUCCUACGGGAUGCGGCAGUGGGUAAUAUUGCACAAUGGGCGGAAUGCUGAUGCAGCAAUGCUGGGUGUGCGAAGAAAGUCUGCGGAAAGUAAUGCACUUGCGACGGGGACGAUGAUGACGGUACCCGAAGAAGAAGCCCCGGCUAACUUCGUG